rnacentral:lncRNA from 1 species
UUACCGUGAUGAUCCUAUUUGGAUCACCAAAUACCCCCUUAGGAUUUUUUAUUUUUAUUUUUGUUUUUUUGGGUAAGAACUUCUUAUCCCGAGGCUUGGCUUGCACUCUGAAGGCAGAGAAGUAAACUAACGCUUUAAGCUUCCCAAAUAAAGCGUUUUAAUUUGAAACGAAGUUAUAUCUUGUGUCUGAUGUACUAGCUGAGCGAUAUCGGACCAAUAAUAUAUCACCAC